rnacentral:misc_RNA from 1 species
UUAUUUUUAWACUUUAAACUUUGAUUUUAUUUUUAUGUUUUUUAAAUAUUGGUGUUUUUGAAUGGGUUGUUUAAAUAACAUAAAAAAUAAAAUAUAUAUUGACAUGCAUUAAACAAAGAUAUAUAUUAUUUUAUGUUGUAUAAAUAAAUUGGCAAAAUAGAGAUGGAAGAUAAAAAUAUGGUCAAAGUAAUAAGAGUC